rnacentral:lncRNA from 1 species
AAAAAUAAAAUAAAAUCUUAUUAAACAAAUUACAGGUACAAGUGAGACCAAGCCAAGAAUCAAGACAAGAGCUUUAAGUAGAGACCAUGGAGAAUUAUUUCCUAGUGGCUUGCUCCAAGGCUUACCUUGAAGCAAGGCCUACAUUUCUUAUAUGCACCAUCUCCACCUGAGAUAACAACACACACUCUGGGUCUUUAUUCCUUCCUACAUCAAUUGUCUCCUACUGACAGGCCCAUGAACCAGCCUGAUCUAGUUGAGCUUCCUCUCUCCGAGUGUACAAAGUUGACAAUUAAGGUUAGCCAUCACAUGGAAGAAGAAUUCAUUUGGUGGUGGGGUAUGGAGGGAUAGAAAAUUAACUAGGAAGCAAUAGAAGCUACAGUCCAUUGGCGACCUAGAGAAGGAGAAUGAAAUAAAAUGCAAAGACCAAUGAGCUUUGCCCAAAAGCUGUAAGAUAGAAACUGAUCGAUAGAGAUUUUCUGGUCCAGAGACUAGACUAUAGGUGCUUUUGACCCACAAGUAGUCCCUAAAGGCAAAGAAUAGCCUCUUGAUAUGUUGGUUGUUGUUCAGUUUUAUCUAGGAGCAGUUUGUCCUUCCUAGUUAGGGCUCAGUAGGAUCAUGGGAAGACACAUGGUGUGAUUAAAGAUGGUCAUUUGUCAGAAUUAAACACUGAGAGCCUCCUUUAAAAUUCAACUUUAUACCAUUUCCUCCUUAUACUCAAGUCUUUGAGUAAAGAGACAUUUCAUGUCCUUAUGGUCACUACACUUAAGAAGAUAGCUUAUCAUACAAUUUCUGAUUGGCUGUAACCUUGAUCAAGAUUCAAGCUUACAGUAACACCCACAGAAACCAUGCCAUGUCAGUCAAUUUUUCUAACAAGUGAAUGAAGGUGUGGAGAGAGAGAGAGUAGUCAGGCCAGUCUAUCAGGAGAUCUAGGCUUGAGUCUCAGGGUUACUAACUAACACACAAGUGAUAAUUUUUCACACCAAUACAAUUGCCUUCAUUAGUUUUAGCAAAUAAUACUUGUGUGAGUAGUAUUGUUGAAAUACAGGAUUAGACAUGUGAUGGAACAAAGAAAACCCUUCUUUUAAGUUCAAAGUAUGCUCUAGAAAUGGCAAGGUAAUUAUAUGUGAUAAUUCUUUCAAUAUUUGAAACACAGAAAAGCUGAACCAGCUGGAUAUUGAAAGCCAUUGAUGAACAUGCUCUAAAUUAUCCAUAUUCACUCUCAGUUAACCCAAGAUGAAAUGUUUGCCUCUUCCCUCCACUUUCGUGAAGAUCUGGAUGCUGUAGUUUGCCUAUUUCAUAAGAAAAGUCUCAUCUAAAGGAAAAAAGUCAGACUUUUAAUUUUCAGUCUUGCUGGAAUCAGCCUCUGCUGAAAUGAGCUACUACUGUCUCUCAGACCCAAAGUAGAGCAUGAAAUCCAUACAGGCUCAUUAAAAUCCUAGACUUCUCCAGGCCAUCUGUAAUCAUGACAAGCAGCAAUCAAUGUGAUUGCCGUGUAUAGCCCGCAUUGUCAUACAUCAACACAACACACGCAUGCCCUAGCGUGGCUUUGGAGAUGUCGGAAACGUUUGGGGGAUUGUUUUGAACUCUAGCAUUUCAGAACAGACCUUGCUUUCAAUUACACAAUGUAAUUGAAAUGGGCGAUGCUCAAGGCACCCGAGGAGAAACUAGUGAUGUCAUCUACCCACUUUGUGAGCCUGUUGGGUUUUAGCAGCCCAACCCUCUAGGUCCCCAAUGUAAUACACAAAGAUACAGUUCUAACUCUCGGGAUGAUACAUCCGCAAAUGUUUCCUUUUGGGACACCUCUGAGGUUCACAAUUACUCUGAAUCAAGAAAGGAGUCAAUCAGGCCUGAAGUAAGGGGCUUGCAUUUCAAGUCGCCAUUUAGUGAGAAGAUACAGGGUUUCUUCGCUUGUCAAACUGCUGAAAACGGUUACUGUCAAAUUCAUCACCCCCCUCCCCACUCCUUCUCCUUUAUUAUAUCGACACAAAGUUCAACCGAAACAUCCCCUUGCCUGUAAAAGCACCGGGAAGCACAGGGUUACCUGUCGAUUGUUUAAAUUUCAAGCCAACACGUUUUUUUUUUUUUUUUUCAAGACUGGAUCUUGAAGACGCCCCUAAAUCUUCCCUCGUUUAGGAUUAAAACUUAGAAGAUGCUGCUCCCUGGGAGAAAAGAAAACUUGUCUACAGCUGUGUUUGGUGCCAGAGGACUUAAUGACAGAUUGCAGGCGCCACAGCCUCUUUAAUUGAGUUUCAGCUUGUUUCACACAUGGGAGUAAGUUGUCACUAGGGAAUUAUAAACGGACACAUCGCCCUUCAUGGCUCCGGAGGCCACUGAAGUGGAGGAUGAGAAGACAUUAUUCAUGGCGAUUGUCCAUGCUUUCUUCCAAGGGCUCACAUGGCAUGGCGAGAGACCUUGAAAGGGAGAAGAGUCCUCUUCUGGGCCUUGCCUGCCAAGAAGUGCUCAUUUUUUCUAAACAGCGCCCUCUAAUGUCCUCAGUAAGAAUGUAUCUUUCCUUUCUUAGAGCUAGGAUUCUGUCUAGAUUGUUGAUUGAUUUUUCAAGAUCCUGUUGGUUAAGUUUUUUUUUUUUUUAUUUUCUCAUUAGACAUUUUCUUUAUUAACAUUUCAAAUUUUACCCCCUUUCCCCAUUUCCGCUCUGAAAACCCCCUUAUUCCAUCCCCCCUCUCCCUGCUCACUAACCCACCCAUUCCUGCUCCCCUCUCCUGGAAUAUUCUACACUGGGGCAUCGAGCCUUUACAAGAUCAAUGUAAGUUUAAAACAUUUUAUUUUUUACUUGUGAAAAAUAAAUAAUAUAGAAUUUUCUGCAAUAACCAUUUUAAAUAUAAAUCCCAAUUUUGCUAAGUAUACUCACAUUACUGGAGAUCUCUAGAAAUAUUUCAUUAAAACAAACAAACAAAAAAGUAACUGUGGCCUGCUAAGCAAUAAUUCUCUUUUCCUUUCCUCUGGACAAUGGUAGACACCACCACAACAUCUGUUUCUAGAAAUUCGAUGUUUUUUCUCACCCAAAUAGAAUCAUAUAGUUUUGUCUGUUGUAUGAUAAAAUUGUUGAAAAACAGCUACACAAAACUAAGUACUAAUUUUACAAAGUUUGAGUUAUUGUACUCCAACGAUUAUACUUCUAACGAUCGAGGUCAGCAUGGUCUAUAUAAUGAGUUCUACUACAGAAGGGCUACUAGCUACAUGGGAGAGCAUGUCAAACACACAUACACACACAGACACACACACACAGACACACGCACAUGCACACACAGGCAUGCACACACAUGUCUUAAGAAAUAAGUUCAUAAAUGUUUUCCAUAUAGUAGAUAAAAUUGGUAUUUGAUGAUUAUGAAAUUUUGAAAUACAUACUACAGAAAGAUACACACAUAUAGAUAUAUCACAUUGACUGGGUUUUGUUCACAUAUUUUCUAUCAUACUUCUCAUAUCAGCAGAUAUUUUUUGCAUUUUUCAUGCAUUUUACUUUCUGGAAACUAAGAUUAUAUUUUAAACCUUUCUAAUCCUAUGUGGCUUCAAUUUUCUAUGCUUCAUAUAUUCAUUUAAAGUACCUUAAGACACAUGCAUGGCUCAUUCUCAUUCCUUUUUAGGUUAGACAAUUAUUGUGUGAAGAUUUUCAGGACUACCACAUUGUUUGACAGUUUUCAACACCCACAUUGAAUACCUGAAUUCAAAAAUCUCUCCCAAAACAAUCAUCUAUAAUUUAAUUGAAUAUUCCCCUUGUACCUAGAAUUUCUACUUAGGUUUUUCUAAUUGAAGAAUUGAUGGUUUUGGGAACAUAUCAAAUACUAUUAGCAUCGAAGCUCAUCUCUAAAAUAAGGAAAAUGAAACCUGAAAUUAGGAAGUGACUUGCCCAAGUUCAAUGUCAUUAGAUGUACAUUCUAUGUUUCUUGUGAUUCAAUUACCUGUUCCCGUUUGAGUCCACAGAGGUGGGCGGUCCUUCAUAGCUUGAUGAGGCUUGGGAGGCUCUGCAUCCCCUCUUGGUUAAGUGCUAUUGGAAAAUAACAAUCCUUUCAAUUACCCUGUCAAAUCUACAUGAAAUUACUCCCCUAAGUGCCCGUCCUCCUAUCUUCCUGAAGAUUCGUGAUGAGAUACCUUAAAUUUAUUAUUGCCCAUAAAUCCUCCUUAAUAUAAUGUGACCCAUGGGAAGCCGCUGCUUCUCUGACUACCUUGGAGGGGGAUACAUAAUAGCUUCAUUUUAGGAGGGACAGAUACUUGAUCCUUAUUGUCUGUGCCUUGUCCUUCCUUUAAAACAUGCUGAUUCUCCUUUACUCAUCCAUGCAUUCAUUCCACAAGUGAUCACAGAUCUAUUAGAGCAUGUCAGCCACUUAAUUUUACACAAGUGGUGAGUAGGACAGACUAUAGCCUCUGCCUUUAAUCCUCUGCCUUUAGAACUACCCAAGCCAACUAUUAAUUGUCUCUGCCACCUGUAUUGUUUUUUAAGGGCUAUCAAUGGAUACUUCGAUGUUAAAGUAGCUUUAAGGGUAGAGGUUGCUUGUUAUGAUAUUUGUUAUUUGUUCUAUAUGUGGUGGUAGUAUCUCCACAGUAUCAGUGUUGUGGGGUUUGAGGAUCAAGUGGUAUACAGCGUGUAUGCAGAGACUGACUGCUCUGAAAAUUGCUCACUUGGGGAAAAACUGUGUGUCCUGGAAUCAAUGAGUUACUGGGAUAGUAGAAAGGUAAGAAUGCUUGAGGUGUCUGUUGUGCAACCACUCUUCCUAAAACAGUGUCAAAACCCAGAACAAAUAUUCACUAAAUUCUACAAAAUGAAGAAAUAUGGAUGACUGAAUGUUAGGAAAGCGGUGGCUGCAUAGUAGCUCAUCAUUUGUCUUCUUAACUCUCAUUCUUAGAGGAUGUCACCAAUGUGAAUGAGGUUAGUAAUUAGAAUUAAUUUGAAUGAAAUUUGUAAUUAUAGCCUUGUUAAAAAAAUAGUUUAGAAGACUGUAAAACUCAACAACAUUUUUUUUCAUUUUGCCACUACCUUCAUGAACCCCAUUUCUACAAUCCUAAAAAGUCUGAAUUGUUGCCUACCUCCUGGUACCUUCUUGGAGGUAAGUCUUGCUAUGGUUCUGGGUUGAGAAUAGAAGGCUGUACUCAUGAGGGACAGUUUUCUGGUCCAGUGCAAACUCCCAUUUGUGCGUUCUGCCUCUGCCUGUGCGAUUGGAUUAGUGGAAAAGUUGUGAGACACUGCAUAGAAAAUUCUACAUUAAUUUUUUUUUUAUUUAGUAAUUACUUCACUGCAGCAAGAAAAACUGGAUCUGAGAGGAUGUUGACAUCUAAUUUUCAGGUUUUGAAUUGCUUGGAGAGAAAGCAGAUCUCUCUUUUCUCAUCUGCUAACUUAUCACUGCAAAGUAAUUAUGCAGAACAGAGUGUGGUCUGAGGUUACGUUUAACACAGCCAGGUCAUAACUAGUCAGCAAGUGGACCCUUGUUUUAAGGAUCAGGAUAAUUAGAGACCUAUAAUCUUGGAAGAGUAAAGGUUACAUCAUUUAGCAGACACACUAGCAGGGAGCAGCCUGCUGGAAAGGCAUGGGUUUUACGGCUCUGCCCUAUUUAUAAACAAGAAUCACAAUUAGGGACUAAAGCCUCUUUAAUUUACCUCUUUUUCCUCUUGUCAGGAUGUAUCUCCAUCUUCAUGAGUGAGAUUAUGCUUUAUGGCUGCUUGCUGUUUUUUAUUGGCAAAUGCAUAUAUUCCAACUUGAUGUUUCCUUGGAUUUCUGAUGAAUCAAGAAAUUGAGAAAAUGAGAAUCUAAAUAGAAAGCGACAUUUCAUUUGAGAUUUUUUUGUGCUGUAAGGGGCUUUUAAAUGACUACAUUUUAAUUA